UAAGACGGAGGGUGCUAGCGUUGUUCGGAAUUAUUGGGCGUAAAGGGCGUGUAGGCGGUCUAUUAAGUCAUGCGUGAAAGCCCUCGGCUUAACCGAGGAAGUGCGUAUGAAACUGACAGGCUAGAGUACGGUAGAGGGGGGCGGAAUUCCAGGUGUAGCGGUGAAAUGCGUAGAUAUCUGGAGGAACACCGGAGGCGAAGGCGGCCCCCUGGUCCGACACUGACGCUGAGACGCGAAAGCGUGGGUAGCAAACAGGAUUAGAUACCCUGGUAGUCCACGCUGUAAACGAUGGGCACUAGGUGUCUGGGGUAUUGACCCCCUGGGUGCCGCAGCUAACGCAUUAAGUGCCCCGCCUGGGGAGUACGAUCGCAAGGUUA
rnacentral:rRNA from 1 species